rnacentral:rRNA from 1 species
CUCGUAGGCGGUUCGGUAAGUCGGGUGUGAAAACUCUGGGCUCAACCCAGAGAGGCCACUCGAUACUGCUGUGACUAGAGUGCGGUAGGGGAGCGGGGAAUUUCUGGUGUAGCGGUGAAAUGCGCAGAUAUCAGAAGGAACACCAGUGGCGAAGGCGCCGCUCUGGGCCGUAACUGACGCUGAGGAGCGAAAGCAUGGGUAGCAAACA